rnacentral:rRNA from 1 species
UACGUAGGUGGCAAGCGUUGUCCGGAUUUACUGGGCGUAAAGAGCGCGCAGGCGGUCGAAUAAGUCGAAUGUGAAAGCCCCCGGCUUAACUGGGGAGGGUCAUUCGAUACUGUUCGACUCGAAGGCAGGAGAGGGAAGUGGAAUUCCCGGUGUAGUGGUGAAAUGCGUAGAUAUCGGGAGGAACACCAGUGGCGAAGGCGACUUCCUGGCCUGUUCUUGACGCUGAGGCGCGAAAGCUAGGGGAGCAAACGGG